rnacentral:rRNA from 1 species
GUUAACGCUGGCGGCGUGCCUAACACAUGCAAGUCGAACGGUUCUAAGCGCGAGCUUAGGAUAGUGGCGAACGGGUGAGUAAAAGGUAGGAAUCUACCCCUUGGACGGAGAUAGCUACUGGAAACGGUAGGUAAACUUCGAUAAGCCCGAGAGGGGAAAGUGGUGAGACAGCCGAGGGAUGAGCCUACUCUCCAACAGGUAGUUGGUGAGAUAAAAGCUUACCAAGCCGAUGACGGAUAACCGGUGUGAGAGCAUGAACGGUCACAAGGGCACUGAGACACGGCCCAGACUCCUACGGGAGGCGGCAGUGGGGAAUUUUGGACAAUGGGCGAAAGCCUGAUCCAGCCAUGCCGCGUGCAGGAAGAAGGCCUUCGGGUUGUAAACUGCUUUAGUCUAGGAAAAAGGGGUGCGAGGUUAAUACCCUCGUGCUUUGAUGGUACUGGAAGAAUAAGCACCGGCUAACUACGUGCCAGCAGCCGCGGUAAUACGUAGGGUGCGAGCGUUAACCGGAAUUACUGGGCGUAAAGCGUGCGCAGGCGGUCUUGUAAGACAGUCGUGAAAUCCCUGGGCCUAACCUAGGAACUGCGAUUGUGACUGCAAGGCUAGAGUGUGUCAGAGGGGGGUGGAAUUCCACGUGUAGCAGUGAAAUGCGUAGAGAUGUGGAGGAACACCGAUUGCGGAGGCAGCUUACUAAACCGUUACUGACGCUCAUGCACGAAGGCGUGGGGAUCAAACAGGAUUAGAUACCCUGGUAGUCCACGCAGUAAACGAUGAUUACUUGCUGUUUGCGAUACACUGUAAGCGGCGUAGCGAAAGCGUUAAGUAAUCCACCUGGGGAGUACGUUCGCAAGAAUGAAACUCAAAGGAAUUGACGGGGGCCCGCACAAGCGGAGGAACAUGUGGUUUAAUUCGAUGAUACGCGAGGAACCUUACCCGGGCUUGAAAUGCAUUCGACUGGGUCGGAAACGGCCUCUCCCUUCGGGGCGGAUGCGUAGGUGCUGCAUGGUUGUCGUCAGCUCGUGCCGUGAGGUGUCGGCUUAAGUGCCAUAACGAGCGCAACCCCUGUCGUCAGUUGCCAUCGGUAUAAGCCGGGGACUCUGGCGAGACUGCCAUCGUAAGAUGCGAGGAAGGUGGGGAUGACGUCAAAUCAGCACGGCCCUUAUGUCCGGGGCGACACACGUGUUACAAUGGGCGGUACAGCGGGAAGCUACCCGGCGACGGGGAGCCGAUCCCGAAAUCCGCUCACAGUUCGGAUCGGAGUCUGCAACUCGACUCCGUGAAGUCGGAUUCGCUAGUAAUCGCGCAUCAGCCACGGCGCGGUGAAUACGUUCCCGGGCCU